CUCGCUCGCGCGCUCCCUCCCGGGGAGGGAGUAGCGGCUCGUGGACCUACGAGGCGAGGCGGGGAGCUCGCUCCCUCCCUCCCUAGGAAUCCCAAGCGGCGAAGGAGCGGCACCCGCAGUGCGAGGCUCCCCCUGGCUGUUUGGAGCGGGCUGAGCGAGCAGGGGAGGGCGAAGGGGGGAAGCCCAGGGAGCUGCAAGGAGCCGCCGCCGCCACUUCAUCCUGCGGCACCAGGAGGCAGCGAGCGCGAGAGGAGAAGCAGCCCAUGUGCGCAGAUGGCAGUGUGGAAGCCAAAUACAAACAUUGGCAGAAGUUAUUUUCUCUCUGAGAAAAUGAAGAGAGUGUACACAUGACUAGGCUUGGGAACUUGAGAAACCACAGAUUUUGGCUCACAUAGUAAUGAUUACAUGAAGUAAUUUACCAUGGGGAUUUUACCUACCCAACCACAGGCUACUUGUAAUCUUUGCAAUCUGAAAUGAGAACUUGUUUCUUUGAUGGGAAUGUGAAGGGAUUUUUUUGUAUAUAUGAUCAUGUAUAUAUGAUCAUAUUAACAUUUUACAUAAAAUUCUCUAAAUAUAGAAUCAAUGCAAAUGAUUUCAUGUAAUAUGAAGGAGGGGGAUAGGUUUAGCUUACGAUUAUGUAUUUUUCCUUUGCUCAGUUCUAAAAAGCACCUUUUAAUUUCCCCGCUUUUGUUAAGUGAGCAAUGAAACUAAAGUUCUCUGCAACCUUUUGACUUGUAUAAAUGAUUUUAUGAGCAUAAAAAAUGGAAAAAAUCAAUCAGGCUGGUGUGUUGUUUAUAUUAAAAUUUUAUAUCAAACGUGUAUAGUGCAUUUGAAUGUCUGAAUAAUCAGAACUAUAGUUUUCUUUCUACAUUUUAAAAUAAUCAAAUCCUGCAAGCUUUCUACACAUUACACAUAAGCCAAUCUGUUGAUGAAGUUUCUCAGCACCAUCCCAUGCAGCAUGGCAAAUAAUUUUUGAAACUUAGUUGCAAUCUUACCAGUUCUGUCAUAAUAAAAUGCAUUUUCUGCAACUUUGAAUAUUUCCCAGAAACUGUCUUAUGGAUGCAAAUAUAUAUUAUGUGCAAGCCAAAGCAUGUUUACUCAGAAGUAAGCCCUGCUGAGCCCAAUUGAGCUUACU